rnacentral:rRNA from 1 species
GACGAACGCUGGCGGCGUGCCUAAUACAUGCAAGUAGAACGCUGAAGAGAGGAGCUUACUCUUCUUGGAUGAGUUGCGAACGGGUGAGUAACGCGUAGGUAACCUGCCUUGUAGCGGGGGAUAACUAUUGGAAACGAUAGCUAAUACCGCAUAACAAUGGAUGACACAUGUCAUUUAUUUGAAAGGGGCAAUUGCUCCACUACAAGAUGGACCUGCGUUGUAUUAGCUAGUAGGUGAGGUAAUGGCUCACCUAGGCGACGAUACAUAGCCGACCUGAGAGGGUGAUCGGCCACACUGGGACUGAGACACGGCCCAGACUCCUACGGGAGGCAGCAGUAGGGAAUCUUCGGCAAUGGGGGCAACCCUGACCGAGCAACGCCGCGUGAGUGAAGAAGGUUUUCGGAUCGUAAAGCUCUGUUGUAAGUCAAGAACGGGUGUGAGAGUGGAAAGUUCACACUGUGACGGUAGCUUACCAGAAAGGGACGGCUGACUACGUG